GAUGAACGCUGGCGGCGUGCCUAAUACAUGCAAGUCGAGCGAAUGGAUUAAGAGCUUGCUCUUAUGAAGUUAGCGGCGGACGGGUGAGUAACACGUGGGUAACCUGCCCAUAAGACUAGGAUAACUCCGGGAAACCGGGGCUAAUACCGGAUAACAUUUUGAACCGCAUGGUUCGAAAUUGAAAGGCGGCUUCGGCUGUCACUUAUGGAUGGACCCGCGUCUCAUUAGCUGGUUGGUGAGGUAACGGCUCACUAAGGCAACGAUGCGUAGCCUACCUGAGAGGGUGAUCGGCCACACUGGGACUGAGACCCGGCCCAGACUCCUACGGGAGGCAGCAGUAGGGAAUCUUCCGCAAUGGACGAAAGUCUGACGGAGCAACGCCGCGUGAGUGAUGAAGGCUUUCGGGUCGUAAAACUCUGUUGUUAGGGAAGAACAAGUGCUAGUUGAAUAAGCUGGCACCUUGACGGUACCUAACCAGAAAGCCACGGCUAACUACGUGCCAGCAGCCGCCGUAA
rnacentral:rRNA from 1 species